GACGAACGCUGGCGGCGUGCUUAACACAUGCAAGUCGAACGGAAAGGCCCUGCUUUUGUGGGGUGCUCGAGUGGCGAACGGGUGAGUAACACGUGAGUAACCUGCCCUUGACUUUGGGAUAACUUCAGGAAACUGGGGCUAAUACCGGAUAGGAGCUCCUGCUACAUGGUGGGGGUUGGAAAGUUUCGGCGGUUGGGGAUGGACUCGCGGCUUAUCAGCUUGUUGGUGGGGUAAUGGCUUACCAAGGCUUUGACGGGUAGCCGGCCUGAGAGGGUGACCGGCCACAUUGGGACUGAGAUACGGCCCAGACUCCUACGGGAGGCAGCAGUGGGGAAUAUUGCACAAUGGGCGGAAGCCUGAUGCAGCAACGCCGCGUGCGGGAUGACGGCCUUCGGGUUGUAAACCGCUUUCGCCUGUGACGAAGCGUGAGUGACGGUAAUGGGUAAAGAAGCACCGGCUAACUACGUG
rnacentral:rRNA from 1 species